rnacentral:tRNA from 1 species
AUUUAUGUAGUUUAAAAUAAAACAUUAUAUUUUCAAUAUAAGAGAAAAAAUAAAUUUUUAUUAAAAA